GAUGAAGAACGUAGCGAAAUGCGAUAAGUAAUGCGAAUUGCAGAAUUCAGUGAAUCAUCGAAUCUUUGAACGCACAUUGCGCCCCUUGGUAUUCCGAGGGGCAUGCCUGUUCGAGCGUCAUAUUAACCACUCCCGCUUGCGGGGUCUUGGGCUUCGCCUCCGGGCGGGCCUUAAAAUCAGUGGCGGUGCCGUCGGGCUCUACGCGUAGUAAAUUUUCUCGCGAUAGGGUCCCGGUGGAUGCUUGCCAACAACCCCCAACUUCUUAAGGUUGACCUCGGAUCAGGUAGGGAUACCCGCUGAACUUAAGCAUAUCAAUAAGCGGAGGA
rnacentral:misc_RNA from 1 species